rnacentral:rRNA from 1 species
ACGUAGGGGACGAGCGUUGUCCGGAUUCAUUGGGCGUAAAGCGUGCGCAGGCGGUGAUGUAAGACAGUUGUGAAAUCCCCGGGCUCAACCUGGGAACUGCAUCUGUGACUGCAACGCUGGAGUGCGGCAGAGGGGGAUGGAAUUCCGCGUGUAGCGGUGAAAUGCGUAGAUAUGCGGAGGAACACCGAUGGCGAAGGCAAUCCCCUGGGCCUGCACUGACGCUCAUGCACGAAAGCGUGGGGAGCAAACAGGA